CUAUCAGCGGCUCCACUUUCUGCAGCCAGCGAGGCCUUAAAAAGCGAAGCAUAUUGGCUGCGCUCUGUGCCAAGGCGCAUCCCUCUCCCCCUUCUCCCCCUUCUGGGCCUCUGAUGCCAGGCUCGCUGGUAGUGCUCUUUCCCUGCAGGGGGCCCCGGAGCCGGGCUUGUCCUGACACCGCAAACAUAUGUAAGGACACCUGAGCUACGGCCUCCAGCCUCCCGCCACCAAGGGUUAAUUUUCCACCCAGCCGUGCGGCAGCCAGACUUGGCCAAGUUUCCUGUCGCCCACAGUGCACCACAAGCUGUGUUUGGGAGCCAGCAAACAACAUUAAUCCUGCCCCUAUGACGGAUCGCAUAUGCAAAAUGUCCGCCACCCUACGCGUUCACACAGCCAGGCAGGUGUCGAUGUGUGCGAUGCCAGGAAAGGUCAGGAGAUGAUUUACUGAACAUUUAUGGAGGCUUUAUCUUCAGUCCUUGUCACCAAGUCGGGCGAUGCUUCAUAGUGGGUCGCCUAACAGAUGUGGAAAAAGAGAGAGCGUGACAACGCCACCACCCCUGAGUUCCGCAAUGACACAGUCUUUAACCAGUCCAACUCUUGGCAGGUACAGAACACUAAAGGACCAUUUUAUUUCUAAAUGA
rnacentral:lncRNA from 1 species